rnacentral:rRNA from 6 species
UGGCGGCCAUAGCGCGGUGGACCCACCUGAACCCAUGCCGAACUCAGAAGUGAAACGCCGUAGCGCCGAUGGUAGUGUGGGGUCUCCCCAUGCGAGAGUAGGACACUGCCAGGCA